AGAGUCUCUAUGUCCAAGAAGCUAUCUGAUGUGAUCAAGAAUCAGAGGAGGGUAUGGAAGGAGGCUUUAGAGCUGGGCAUAAGUGAAGGAAGCACACAAGGCGACGAGCAUGAGCAAAGGCUGUAGUUUUGCUGAAAGCCGCAAGAUCUCUUUUUCUUCUGCGGUUUAGCUCCAAAUAUUGGAUGCCCCAAUGCUCUAAUCUUGAGGAGGAUGAUCAGGUGAUCUCAUUGGGAGGUUUAGACUCUGAUUUGGUUCAGAUCAUAGAUGUGUAGGGGUCA
rnacentral:lncRNA from 1 species